UACGUAGGUGGCAAGCGUUGUCCGGAUUUACUGGGUGUAAAGGGCGUGUAGGCGGAGCUGCAAGUCAGAUGUGAAAUCCCGGGGCUCAACCCCGGAACUGCAUUUGAAACUGUAGCCCUUGAGUAUCGGAGAGGCAGGCGGAAUUCCUAGUGUAGCGGUGAAAUGCGUAGAUAUUAGGAGGAACACCAGUGGCGAAGGCGGCCUGCUGGACUGCAACUGACGUUGAGGCCCGAAAGCGUGGGGAGCAAACAGG
rnacentral:rRNA from 1 species